UACGUAGGGGCAAGCGUUGUCCGGAAUUAUUGGGUCGUAAGAGCGCGUAGGCGGUCCGAUAAGUCGGCUGUGAAAGUCCAGGGCUCAACCCUUGAAAGCCGGCCGAUACUGUCGGACUAGAGUCCGGAAGAGGCGAGUGGAAUUCCCGGUGUAGCGGUGAAAAUGCGCAGAUAUCGGGAGGAACACCAAUGGCGAAGGCAGGUCUCUGGGCCAUAACUGACGCUGAGUAAGCGAAAGCAUGGGGAGCCGAACGAGGA
rnacentral:rRNA from 1 species